GCACCCAUAGCUCAAUUGGAUAGAGCGUCAGACUACGGAUCUGAAGGUUAGGAGUUCGACUCUCUUUGGGUGCGCCA
rnacentral:tRNA from 2 species